rnacentral:rRNA from 1 species
GUCGGGAAUUUUGGGCAAUGGGCGAAAGCCUGACCCAGCAACGCCGCGUGAAGGAUGAAGUAUUUCGGUAUGUAAACUUCGAAAGAAUAGGAAGAAUAAAUGACGGUACUAUUUAUAAGCUCCGGCUAACUACGUGCCAGCAGCCGCGGUAAUACGUAGGGAGCAAGCGUUGUUCGGAUUUACUGGGCGUAAAGGGCGCGUAGGCGGCGCGGUAAGUCACUUGUGAAAUCUCUGAGCUUAACUCAGAACGGCCAAGUGAUACUGCAGUGCUAGAGUGCAGAAAGGGCAAUCGGAAUUCUUGGUGUAGCGGUGAAAUGCGUAGAUAUCAAGAGGAACACCUGAGGCGAAGGCGGGUUGCUAGGCUGACACUGACGCUGAGGCGCGAAAGCCAGGGGAGCAAACGGGAUU